rnacentral:RNase_P_RNA from 4 species
AAAAGUAGAAGAGGCAGUUGCGGACUCAAUACUUAUUUAGGGUCUGAGGAAAGUCCGGGCUCCCAAAAGACCAAGCCUGCUGGAUAACGCCCAGUGCGAGUGAUCGUGAGGAUAGUGCCACAGAAAAAUACCGCCAAAGUAGAUUAAUUAUUAUUGUUUAGUCACUUCAGGUAAGGGUGCAAAGGUGCGGUAAGAGCGCACCAGCAGUGUCGUGAGAUACUGGCUCGGUAAACCCCGGCGGGGAGCAAGGUCGAAGGAACAAUGGUUGGUCUUUUUCCGGUUCCAUUGCAUUAUAGAUUUAUUUGUAAUGUUUGGUGUACCGCAAGAGGUGUCUGGUAACAGGCAUCCCAGAUAGAUAACUGCCCUCAAAGCUUGUUUGAGUUGAGAGAACAGAACCCGGCUUACUUCCUACUUUUUCCU